rnacentral:misc_RNA from 1 species
CAUUAUUUUACAAGCCUGACUAAAACUUACACCCCAUGUCCAGCCUUCCAAGUUCCUUCCCUCCUACCGCCAGCAUUAUUCAAACAUGCACUAUAACAGGAAACAACUGAAAUUGCAUUCUCUUUCUCAGCCCCUCUUCUACUGAACGUAACAUGAGGUAUGUCACCUUCGUUCACUUACAAUAAUGUUGGAUCCAACAUCCUCACAUUCAUAGGACAUGCAUGCAAAUUGCCAGCGCAAACUCACAACUAGAUAUACGUGUUAAAUCACAGAAAGACGUCGAGAUAUGCAUAAUUCCUGCAUCGGUUAUACUGAAGGAGGCUUCCAUAGGUACGAUCCCACACUCCUAUGAAGAGGGAUUCUGUAUCAGGGCUAAAAGACACACCAGAGAUUUCCCCAAAAAAAUCAAUCUCCUGCUCUUUGUCAAAUCCAUUCUUUACAUCAUAGACAUGCACAAAAUCAGCUGGCUCUGCCAUAGCCAUGAAUUGCCCAUCAGAUGUAAACCGAAUUGAUCUAAUGGCUCCUAAGUUGCCCUUGAGCACAGCUACAGAUUUUGACAAGUUUCUAGCAUCCCAAAUACGACAUGUCUUGUCUUGAUUCCCAGUGGCGAAGAUGCGGCCAUCAGGAUGCCAAGCAGAUGCAAAUGAGAAAUCCAAAUGUCCACACAAAGGCGUAAUGGUCUUUCCUGUUUGAGAAUCUACUAGUAAUCCUUCUGGGUUGUCACCAACAAUAGUAAGAAGCUUACCAUCAGGACUCAAUGAGGUGUGAUUCACUGGCCAAGGGAAGCUAAAAUGCUUGGUAAGCUGGAAUUUCUCCAUGUCAAAAUCUCUAACUCCAGAGUCAUUAUUUGAAGCCAUGAAAUGAACUGCACCACUGGCAUAAUCAUAAAUCUCAACUGCAUUUGUGAUUGCAUUAUCCUCAUAAGUUGUCCUGUAACAGAAGCUAAUUCCUGGUCGAUCUAAAUGCUUACAAAUAAGUUCUCCCUGGAACCCUCCAGCAAUCAACAACUUAUCACGUACUGCCAGUGUACUAACUUGAGUUUGAGUAAAUCCUUCCAAGAGGCUCCCAGGGUGUUUCUCGCAUGGUGCCACAUGCCCGGAAACAUUAAGAACUUCAAUCUUCUUGCAAUUUAAAGAUGACCAGUGAACAAUGGAGAAAUGUGACAUAAGGUAGACAUCAUGUUUUGUGGUUGACCAAACCAAGUUCCGCAAUUGAAAAUGAAGGAUAGUUGAUGUCACUGAUCUUGUAUUACGCCAAAAAUCAUAAUACACUCCCCCUUUCUUUGUUGGUUUGCAUUCCUUUUCUGAACCUUCUCCUGAUUGAGGGAUGUUUUCGUAGUUCUUGUAUUGCUCUAGCCUAGUCUGUCUGUACUUCUCACGGGAAAUGCUCAGUCUCUCCCAAGGAAUUCCCUGGAUAUCCUUUCCUCUCCUAGCAUCUGCUGCAGAUGUAUCUGUAAUCUUAUUGUCCAAAUGAUCAUAUUCGUCGUCAUCAUCAUCAGACUCUGAAUCACCCAUGAAUCUACCCCGGAAAUACACAUCAUCAUCCACUUCUGCCAUCUCGAAAUCAUCCGCCAUGUAAUCCAUUUCAUCCCCCUGGUAUUGGGACAUGUUUGUAGAGCAAACAAACCUUAGAAUGUAGAAAAUAGAUGAUCUACAGAAUGAUGGGUCUCUGCUGUGCGUGCUGUCCGCACGAGAUAUUGUGGGAUGCUUUAAGGGAGAGCAAGGCUUUCAUAUACGCCAAAGAGAUAGGCUCAGGCACUGGG